UUUGAGGUCAGAGUUUUGUGAUGGCCACUCCAAUACCUUGACUUUGUUGUCCUUAAGUUCUUGCGUCGAGCAAUCCCAUAUCCGGGAGCGUAAUCAUAGCCUCAAGCUCAUUACCAUAACGCAACGUUAACUUCAUGAAAAUCGCAAAUGAUAUGAAAGAAAUAUAUUCACUCACAAGCUUAGCCUUUUGCUAACAACACUGUCAUCUCAGAUUUUCAAAAUAUGCUUUUCAACCAUAGCUACACAGCAUUUGUGUAAGAGUAUUGAUAGCUAGCAUAGCAUUAAACCUAGCAUUCAGCAGGCAACAUUUUCACAAAAACAAGAAAAGCAUUCAAAUAAAAUAAUUUACCUUUGAAGAACUUCGGAUGUUUUCAAUGAGGAGACUCUGUUAGAUAGCAAAUGUUCAGUUUUUCCAAAAAUAUUAUUUGUGUAGGAGAAAUCGCGCUGUUUUGUUCAUCACGUUUGGCUAAGAAAAAGAAAAAAAAAUUCAGUCAUUACAACGCCAAACUUUUUUCCAAAUUAACUCCAUAAUAUCGACAGAAACAUGGCAAACGUUGUUUAGAAUCAAUCCUCAAGGUGUUUUUCACAUCUAUUCGACGAUAAAUCAUUCGUGGCAGUUGGGUUUCUCCUCUGAAGCAAAUGGAAAAAUAGACGCAGCUGGAGAUUACGCAAUAAUUUCGACGGAGGACACCAAGCGGGCACCUGGUAAAUGUAGUCUCUUAUGGUCAAUCUUCCAAUUAUAUGCCUACAAAUACGUCACAAUGCUGCAGACAUUUUGGGGAAACGACAGAAAGUGUAGGCUCAUUCCUGGCGCAUUCACAGCCAUAUAAGGAGACAUUGGAACACAGCGCCUUCAAAAUCUGGGGUAUUUCCUGUUUGAAAUUUCAUCUUGGUUUCGCCUGUAGCAUCAGUUCUGUGGGACUCACCGAUAAUAUCUUUGCAGUUUUGGAAACGUCAGUUUUCUUUCCAAAGCUGUCAAUUAUAUGCAUAGUCGAGCAUCUUUUCGUGACAAAAUAUCUUGUUUAAAACAGGAACGUUUUUUUAUCCAAAAAUGAAAAGAGCGCCCCCUAUAUCGAAGAGGUUAAACCAUUUUGCCACAACUUUGGAACUUCCUGACUGAUGUCUUUAGAUGUUGCUUCAAUAUAUCCACAUCAUUUUCCUUCUCAUGAAGCCAUCUAUUUUGUGAAAUGCACCAGUCCCUCCUGCAACAAAGCACCCCCACAUCAUGAAGCUGCCACCCCCGUGCUUCACGGUUAGGAUGGUGUUCUUCGGCUUGCAAGCAUCCCUCUUUUUCCUCCAAACAUAACGAUGGUCAUUAUGGCCAAACAGUUUUAUUUUUGUUUCAUCAGACCAACAUUUUUUGUUUCAUUUCUCCAAAAAGUACUAUCUUUGUCCCCAUGUGCAGUUGCAAACCGUAGUCUGGCUUUUUUAUGGCGGUUUUGGAGCAGUGGCUUCUUCCUUGCUGAGCAGCCUUUCAGGUUAUGUUGAUAUUGGACUCGUUUUACUGUGGAUAUAGAUACUUUUGUACCCGUUUCCUCCAGCAUCUUUACAAGGUCCCUUGCUGUUGUUCUAGGAUUGAUUUGCAUCAAAGUACGUUAAUCUCUAGGAGACAGAAUGUGUCUCCUUCCUGAGCAGUAUGACUGCUGCGUGGUGUUUAUACUUGGUACUAUUGGUGUUUAUACUUGCGUACUAUUGUUUUUACAGAUGAACGUGCUACCUUCAGGCGUUUGGAAAUUGCUCCCAAAGAUGAACCAGACUUGUGGCCUACAAUUUUUGUCUUUGCUAAUUUCUUUUGAUUUUCCAAUGAUAUCAAGCAAAGAGGCACUGAUUUUGAAGUUUGUAAGUUCCAGGUGGAGAAAUGCGGAGAGCAACCAUUGUGUUAAGAUGGAAUUAAUACAAUGAACUUCACGAAGGAGGCCUUUAACAAGAGAAACACUGUCUGGAAGUAGAUGGCUUCUUGGCAGCAGCCACAAGAUUUCUCAAUAUUUCCUUUCAAAUGGUAUUUUCAGGCAGGUAAUACAUUUUUUUCCUGCCAGGCUUCUGGCAAGGAUCUCUGGAUACAAAUUAUUCCAAUUGAGCAUGGACUGAAAGUUAAUUGAUCAAAAUGCCAUUCUCUCUGUCAUUGGAGUGUGAGUGUGGAUAACAGUUUACUGCUUCUGACAUAGUUUUCUAAAGAAGCUGUGGAGGAGACUAGAUACAGAAUUAAUCUUGAAGUGAAAAGUGUUUGGGGAGAGAAUUCUGCUUGAGGGCGGUGUUCUGUUUUAUACAGUGCUUUUGAAAAGUUUUCAGACACCUUGACUUUUUUUUUAGGUUACAGCCUUAUUCUAAAAUGUAUUACAUUGAGGAAAGAAAUCAAUAUACAUACAAUACAAAUUGAAAACAGGUUUAGAUUAGAUUUUUUUUUUGAAUAAAAAAAGUUAGAAUUAAUUGAAAUAUCACAUUUACAUAAGUAUUCAGACCCUUUACCUAAGUACUUUGAAGCACCUUUGGCAACAAUUACAGCCUCAAGUCUUCUUGGGUAUGUCGCUACAAGCUUGGCACACCUGUAUUUGGGGAGUUUCCCAUUUUUCUCUGAAGAUCCUCACAAGCUCUGUCAGGUUUUAUUGGGAGCAUUGCUGCACAGCUAUUUUCAGGUCUCCAGAGAUGUCCGGGCUCUGGCUGGGCCACUCAUGGACAUUCAGAGACUUCAGAGUCCUGAAGCCACUCCUGAGUGUCUUGGCUUUGUGCUUAGUCGUUGUCCUGAUGGAAUGUAACCUUCGCCCCAGUGAGGUUCUGAUCGCUCUGGAGCAGGCUUUCGUCAAGGAUCUCUCCAUUACUUUGCUCUGUUCUCUUUGCCUCGAUCCUGACUAGUCUCCCAGUUCCUGCCGCUGAAAAACACCCCCACAGCAUUGUGCUGCCACUACCAUACUUUACCGUAGUGAUGGUGCCAGGUUUCCUCCAGCCGUGAUGCUUGGCGUUCAGGCCAAAGUUCAGUCUUGGUUUCAUCAGACCAGAUCUUGUGUCUCAUGGUCUGAGUGUCUUUAGUUGCAUUUUGGCAAACUCCAAACGGGCUGUCACGUGCCCUUUUUACUGAGUGUCUUCCGUCUGGCCACUCCACCAUAAAGUCUUGAUUGGUGGAGUGCUGCAGAGAUGGUUGUCCUUCUAGAAGAUUCUCCCAUAUAUACAGAGGAACUCUAGAGAUCUAAGUGACCAUCAGGUUCUUGGGCACCUCCCUGACCAAGGCCCUUUUCCCCAGAUUGCUCAGUUUGGCCUGGCGGCCAGCUCUAGGAAGAGUGUUUGCUGGUUCCAAACUUCUAUUUAAGAAUAAUUUAGGCAACUGUGUUUUUGGCAUUCUCCAGAUCUGUGCCUCGACACAAUCCUGUCUCGGAGCUCUACGGACAAUUCCUUCGACCUCAUGGCUUGGUUUUUGCUCUGACAUGAGACCUUCUAUAGACAGGUGUGUGCCUUUCCAAAUCAUGUCCAAUCAAUAGCAUUUACUACAGGUGGACAUCAAUGAAGUUGUAGAAACAUCUCAAGGAUGAUCAAUAGAAACCGGAUGCAACUGAGCUCAAUUUCUAGUCUCAGAGCAAAGGUUCUGAAUACUUAUGUAAAUAAUGUAUUGUUUAUUUGUACUACAUUUGCAAACAAUUCUAAACCUGUUUUUGUUUGUGGGGUAUUGUGUAUCGAUUGAGGAUUUAUUUAUUUUUUCAUCCAUUUUAGAAUAAGGCUGUAACAAAAUGUGGAAAAAGUCAAGGAGUCUGAAUACUUUCCAAAGGCACUGCAUGUAACCACAACUAUUCUUACUUGUUUUACACCUGGUUGGUUGUCAAAUGUGAUCAGUGGUAGAAAAUAAAACCGAAUUCAUUAAAUAUGUAACAAUGUAUUUUCUCAAUGUUGGGUAGCCUAGGUUGUGUAAAUUAUAUAAUUGAAUGUCGUUUUAAUUAUGUUUUGUAAAGGGCUGUAGAGUCACUGUAUAUACUGUACCAUAGCCUAUAUACAAUAGAACAUUCAAUAAUUCAUUCAAUGGCUUUAUUUACAUUUUUCCAUAUUCAUAAAUGGGUCGAAAUGUAAAUUGAACUUUCUCUUCAAUGCUUUCUCCCACUCUGUCUUUUUCUUCCUGCUCACUGGCAGUGCUGUCACAAAGCUAUCUCAUCUCAUUGGCAUUAUACAGUCGGUGUCUGAAACUGUCUUAAUUGUUUUGCCUUUCUAUUGCUUACGAUAAAGCCUGGCUUGUCAGUCACUUUGGCGGAUAACUGUAUCACAAUUUGCAAGACAGUGGGGUGAGGGAGUUUAAAUAUUUUUUUAAUGUCAUGUUUUAUUUUUUACAUUUGAUAUCCUACCUACCCAGAAGUCAUUAUGUC
ensembl:lncRNA